AGCGAACGCUGGCGGCAGGCCUAACACAUGCAAGUCGAACGAACCUUUCGGGGUUAGUGGCGGACGGGUGAGUAACACGUGGGAACGUGCCUUUAGGUUCGGAAUAACUCAGGGAAACUUGUGCUAAUACCGAAUGUGCCCUUCGGGGGAAAGAUUUAUCGCCUUUAGAGCGGCCCGCGUCUGAUUAGCCAGUUGGUUGAGGUAAUGGCUCACCAAGGCGACGAUCAGUAGCUGGUCUGAGAGGAUGAUCAGCCACAUUGGGACUGAGACACGGCCCAAACUCCUACGGGAGGCAGCAGUGGGGAAUCUUGCGCAAUGGGCGAAAGCCUGACGCAGCCAUGCCGCGUGAAUGAUGAAGGUCUUAGGAUUGUAAAAUUCUUUCAACGGGGACGAUAAUGACGGUACCCGGAGAAGAAGCCCCGGCUAACUUCGUG
rnacentral:rRNA from 1 species